rnacentral:rRNA from 1 species
AAUGGGGGGCGUGCCUAUACAUGCAAGUCGAGCGAACCAGAUUAGGAGCUUGCUCUUAAGAAGUUAGCGGCGGACGGGUGAGUAACACGUAGGUAACCUGCCUAUAAGACUGGGAUAACUCCGGGAAACCGGGGCUAAUACCGGAUAACAUUUUGCACCGCAUGGUGCGAAAUUGAAAGGCGGCUUCGGCUGUCACUUAUAGAUGGACCUGCGGCGCAUUAGCUAGUUGGUGAGGUAACGGCUCACCAAGGCGACGAUGCGUAGCCGACCUGAGAGGGUGAUCGGCCACACUGGGACUGAGACACGGCCCAGACUCCUACGGGAGGCAGCAGUAGGGAAUCUUCCGCAAUGGACGAAAGUCUGACGGAGCAACGCCGCGUGAGCGAUGAAGGCCUUCGGGUCGUAAAGCUCUGUUGUUAGGGAAGAACAAGUGCUAGUUGAAUAAGCUGGCACCUUGACGGUACCUAACCAGAAAGCCACGGCUAACUACGUGCCAGCAGCCGCGGUAAUACGUAGGUGGCAAGCGUUAUCCGGAAUUAUUGGGCGUAAAGCGCGCGCAGGUGGUUUCUUAAGUCUGAUGUGAAAGCCCACGGCUCAACCGUGGAGGGUCAUUGGAAACUGGGAGACUUGAGUGCAGAAGAGGAAAGUGGAAUUCCAUGUGUAGCGGUGAAAUGCGUAGAGAUAUGGAGGAACACCAGUGGCGAAGGCGACUUUCUGGUCUGCAACUGACACUGAGGCGCGAAAGCGUGGGGAGCAAACAGGAUUAGAUACCCUGGUAGUCCACGCCGUAAACGAUGAGUGCUAAGUGUUAGAGGGUUUCCGCCCUUUAGUGCUGAAGUUAACGCAUUAAGCACUCCGGCCUGGGGAGUACGGCCGCAAGGCUGAAUACUCAUAGGAAGUUGACGGGCGCCCCGCACAGCGGUGCAUGCAUGUUGUUUUAAUUCGAAGCAACGCGAAGCAUCUUUACGAGUCUGACAUCUCUGACAACCCUAGAGAUAGGCUUUCCUCUUCGGGCAGAGUGAACAGUUGUGCAUGAUGUCGUCAUCUCGUGUCAUGAGAUGUUGGAUUAAGUCCCGCCACGAGCG